rnacentral:rRNA from 1 species
AUUGAACGCUGGCGGCAGGCCUAACACAUGCAAGUCGAGCGGAUGACGGGAGCUUGCUCCUUGAUUCAGCGGCGGACGGGUGAGUAAUGCCUAGGAAUCUGCCUGGUAGUGGGGGACAACGUUUCGAAAGGAACGCUAAUACCGCAUACGUCCUACGGGAGAAAGCAGGGGACCUUCGGGCCUUGCGCUAUCAGAUGAGCCUAGGUCGGAUUAGCUAGUUGGUGAGGUAAUGGCUCACCAAGGCGACGAUCCGUAACUGGUCUGAGAGGAUGAUAGGUCACACUGGAACUGAGACACGUUCCAGACUCCUACGGGAGGCAGCAGUGGGGAAUAUUGGACAAUGGGCGAAAGCCUGAUCCAGCCAUGCCGCGUGUGUGAAGAAGGUCUUCGGAUUGUAAAGCACUUUAAGUUGGGAGGAAGGGCAGUAAGUUAAUACCUUGCUGUUUUGACGUUACCGACAGAAUAAGCACCGGCUAACUCUGUGCCAGCAGCCGCCGUAAUAC